rnacentral:rRNA from 1 species
UACGUAGGGUCCAAGCGUUAAUCGGAAUUACUGGGCGUAAAGCGUGCGCAGGUGGUUCGUUAAGAGUGAUGUGAAAUCCCCGGGCUUAACCUGGGAAUUGCAUUGCUAACUGGCGAACUAGAGUACGGGAGAGGGGGGUGGAAUUCCGCGUGUAGCAGUGAAAUGCGUAGAGAUGCGGAGGAACACCGAUGGCGAAGGCAGCCCCCUGGCCUGCUACUGACACUCAUGCACGAAAGCGUGGGGAGCAAACAGG